UACGGGGGGAGCAAGCGUUGUUCGGAUUUACUGGGCGUAAAGAGCGCGCAGGCGGUCGUAUAAGUCGAAUGUGAAAGCCCCCGGCUCAACUGGGGAGGGUCAUUCGAUACUGUUCGACUCGAAGGCAGGAGAGGGAAGUGGAAUUCCGGGUGUAGUGGUGAAAUGCGUAGAUAUCCGGAGGAACACCAGUGGCGAAGGCGACUUUCUGGCCUGUUCUUGACGCUGAGGCGCGAAAGCUAGGGGAGCAAACGGG
rnacentral:rRNA from 1 species